AGAGUUUGAUCAUGGCUCAGGAUGAACGCUGGCGGCGUGCUUAAUACAUGCAAGUCAACGGAGUAUGUAGCAAUACGUACUUAGUGGCGAACGGGUGAGUAACGCGUUGGUGACCUGCCUCGAAGAGAGGGAUAACAGUCCGAAAGGACUGCUAAUACCUCAUGUGAUCAAGGAGUUUAGAAGUCUUUGAUUAAAGGAAUAAUUCACUUCGAGAGGGACCUGCGUACCAUCAGCUAGUUGGUGAGGUAACGGCCCACCAAGGCGAUAACGGUUAGGGGACCUGAGAGGGUGGCCCCCCACAAUGGAACUGAAACACGGUCCAUACACCUACGGGUGGCAGCAGUAGGGAAUAUUAGUUAAUGUGCGAAAGCGCGAACUAGCAACGCCGCGUGUGCGAUGAAGGCCUUCGGGUUGUAAAGCACUUUUCCAAGGGACGAGGAAGGACGGUACCUUGGGAAUAAGCAUCGGCUAACUACGUGCCAGCAGCCGCGGUAAAACGUAGGAUGCAAGCGUUAUCCGGAUUUACUGGGCGUAAAGCGCGUGUAGGCGGUUCGGUAAGUUGGAUGUGAAAGCUCCUGGCUUAACUGGGAGAGGUCGUUCAAUACUGCCGAGCUAGAGGAUGGUAGAGGGAGGUGGAAUUCCGAGUGUAGUGGUGAAAUGCGUAGAUAUUCGGAGGAACACCAGUGGCGAAAGCGGCCUCCUGGACCAUUUCUGACGCUCAGACGCGAAAGCUAGGGUAGCAAACGGGAUUAGAGACCCCGGUAGUCCUAGCCGUAAACGAUGUAGACUUGGCGUCGGCGGGUUUAAAUCCGUCGGUGUCGAAGCUAACGCGAUAAGUCUACCGCCUGGGGAGUACGACCGCAAGGUUAAAACUCAAAUGAAUUGACGG
rnacentral:rRNA from 1 species